rnacentral:lncRNA from 1 species
AGGCGACUGCUCCCGCGAGGUCAGAGCCGGGCUGUGCCGCUGCCCCCGGGACUAGAAAGGGAAAUCUCCUUGCUAGAGGAGGAAGCCCUAAGAACUCAAGGGAGAUAGGGGUGGCAGGGGCAUUUCCCUGGAUGCCUGGAGCAUGGAGGGUGCGAAAUAAGGAGGCUUUCCUACCCCAUUGAUGAGCUGAAGUUGAUUCCGCACGGGGGAGGAAAGGGACAGGAAGCAUAAUUGGAUGUGCAAGCCUGUGGUUCUUCAGGAAGUUAACACGUGGAACUAACACUGUUGGAUGCUGCUGAACUCUCAGGUGAUUGAUGUGACUAACCUCCUCAGGAGGCUUUCCGGAAGCACUAAGAAAUAGAACUAGUUUGUCUAAUUUGGAAUUAAAAGAGUAACCAACUGAGUGUCUUCAGCAGUGACAAUGAAAAUGUACCACUUCCCAUUUUGAUAAUUCAAAGAGCCUUAAGAAAGAUCGUUUUGCUUGAAAGCACUAUUUCACACUGACACUGGUCAUUCAUAGGCUUCAGAUAAGAAAAACUCCAGCAGUGUCCAGAUCAAGCCAUCCUGACUUUGUCUCUAGGCGGCUUAACCUCAAGUCACAGCCUGGUCUCUGCAGCAGAGCCAGGCAUUCCGGAGCCUGCACGGCCUAGCUCUUCUGGAGCAGAUGGGCUCACUUCCCAGGGUGCUGCUAGCUUGCAUUCAAAGUGACUUCACAUCUCACUCCCUCAGGUGGUCAGGAUGAUGCCCAUCCCUGAUCUGACACAGGCACUGAUGUCCACUAGACUCUGGCCAGCAAAAAGCCCUCUCACAGAAGAAGGGGUCAAAAAGGGCUAAAUCUGAGACAGAAGCCAGUUUCUCAGAUGUGCUAUUUCUGCCUAAGCAUCCUUUCUUGAACAAUAAAAAAAAAAGGCUGAAAAUAUCUCUUA